rnacentral:rRNA from 1 species
GGCGGACGGGUGAGUAACGCGUGAGGAACCUGCCUUUCAGUGGGGGACAACAGUUGGAAACGACUGCUAAUACCGCAUAAUGUAUUCCGACCGCAUGAUCGGAAUACCAAAGAUUUAUUGCUGAAAGAUGGCCUCGCGUCUGAUUAGAUAGUUGGUGAGGUAACGGCCCACCAAGUCGACGAUCAGUAGCCGGACUGAGAGGUUGAACGGCCACAUUGGGACUGAGAUACGGCCCAGACUCCUACGGGAGGCAGCAGUGGGGAAUAUUGGGCAAUGGGGGAAACCCUGACCCAGCAACGCCGCGUGAAGGAAGAAGGCUUUCGGGUUGUAAACUUCUUUUACCAGGGACGAAGGACGUGACGGUACCUGGAGAAAAAGCCACGGCUAACUACGUGCCAGCAGCCGCGGUAAUACGUAGGUGGCAAGCGUUGUCCGGAUUUACUGGGUGUAAAGGGCGUGUAGGCGGAGAAGCAAGUCAGAAGUGAAAUCCAUGGGCUUAACCCAUGAACUGCUUUUGAAACUGUUUCCCUUGAGUAUCGGAGAGGC